rnacentral:rRNA from 1 species
CCUACGGGAGGCAGCAGUGGGGAAUCUUGCACAAUGGAGGNAACUCUGAUGCAGCGCACGCCGCGUGAGCGAUGAAGCCUUUCGGGGUGUAAAGCUCUUUCGGCAGGAACGAUAAUGACGGUACCUGCAGAANAAGCUGCGGCUAACUNCGUGCCAGCAGCCGCGGUAAU